AAUCUCUGGAAGCAUCCAUGGGUCCUACUCUGGUGGAAAGGCAGCAUAUAAAUUAAAUGCAUACAUUAAAUAAAUCAAGUUUUAGCAAACUGCCUCUCCUAUUGAUAUAUGAUCCUGGCCCUGCUGAUGGGGAUUGUGAUGCAACCAGUGAUGAUGUUUCUUCUAUUAUGAUGUCUUCAUGGUUCCCUUGGAGAUGGGUCAAACAAGGAGAAGGAGGCAGAGGAUUCCCAUGGAAGCAGCUAAGUCCCUCUGGAGAAAAACACUGGAUUAACAAAAUCCAGAUAAGUAAUGUAUGCUCUGUAAAAACAUGCAAUAUAAAAGUACGCAGGAAAAGCAAACUGCUUAUUUUCCUGUCAAGGCUUCAAAACAUUGGCUUUCCAGGAAGCCCAUCUCCAGACGUGAACUUCUUCAACAUGUUGGUAAGUCUUUAAUGGGGUAAGUUUCUUAAUGGAAAAAUCCACAUCCUUAAAUAUUCUUCAGUUGCUAUAGUUUCACUUCUUCAUGUUGUAUUUGAAUAUAACUUCUUUGUAGACUUGUAUAUCAAUAUUUUACAGUAACCAUGUCUAUGCCUUAUUUUGCCUUCUUUUCUAAUUUAUAACAGUUGUUCAUUCUGAAGGAAAUUUGUAAAAAGUAAUCCAGGAGCUGAGUUUACCAUUUCUUUAUCUCCAAUCACGAAAAUAUGUGACUUUCAUUCUGUGCAUGGCUCUCAAGUGUAUUUUCUUAGGAAUGAUUACAGUGAUUAAACAUUAUUUCUCCAAUCAAAGCAAAAUCACUGAUACAUGGAAAAGAAUUAGACACAGAACGGAAGCAAUAUGUGAACCCCUAUUUCAGGAAGUGUCGUGAAAAGGUAAAGGUUAGAUUCUAAUAAAUUGAAAUCCAUACAGAAAUUUAUUUACUGGGGAAAAACAGACUUUUUUAUUUUCUGCUAGCUGACUUCUUCAAGCCAAGUUCUAGAAGUAUGUAUGAUGUUUAACAUUUCUUUGCUCAUAUAUGUUAUGUUUUUCCAAGUUUGAAAGUGAUCUUAAAAAAUAACACUAUUUUGGCUGAGUGAGCUGAAAAGAAUAAAGAAAAAGAUUUUAAAAUAAAAAGAAUAAAAGACUCAUGUGAUUUAAGGGAUGACAGCUACUGAAAUGAAGAGAGAAAUGUGAUAGGUGUCACAGGUAAAUAUCACAAAUGUGAAGGUAAGACCUAAAAUGGUAUCAAUUACUGCAGAGAAAGAAGGGAAUACAGGAUACAUAAAGAAUUUGUAUUUUGCAGAAAAAACAUAUAGUCAGGAUGGCAAUUCAGGGCCGGGCUAAACCGCUGUGCUGCAGAAAAUCCUGCUGAUUGAAAAGUCAACAGUUUGAGCCCGGGUUGGGGUGAGCACCCGCCAUCAGCCUCAGCUCACCUGCCCACCUAGCAGAUGGGAAGCAGAAAUGUGAGUAGAUAAAUAGGUACCACUUUUAGUGAGGAGGUAAUAAAAGGCACCCUUAAGGACAUCAGUCCAGAGGAUGAGACUACAAAAAGCUCCUUGGCAUGGAAGAUGUAGCGACAGCACCCCCUGUGGCCGGAGUCGAGCACAGACUCCAAGAUGCUGGAAAUAAGAUGGGAAAUGCCUUUACCUCUGUCUGUGUAUUGUCUGCCCUUGUUAAUUGUAUAAACACAUUGAAUACUUGCCAUGUGUGUGUUCUGUAAUCUGCCCUGAGUGCCCUUGGGAAGACAGAGUGGAAUAUAAAUAAAGCAUAUUAUUAUUAUUAUUAUUAUUAUUAUUAUUAUUAUUAUUAUUAUUAUUAAUUCAGAGAUAAGAAAUAACCUUCAGUUCUUUAAAAGGUUUAACACUUUGAAAGAAUUCAGCAGAUGAGGUGAGUAUGUCAGUAUUUCCAAGUGCCAAACCCUGUCCCUAACUUUGCUUACACUUUUUACUGGACAACAUAUGAGGUUUUAGGCAUUUGACAACCUUCAAGAAGCAACAAACAUCUAACAAAAAUCUGAUAAAAGGGACAGAGCAAGGCUGGCUUCAGGAAAAUAAAAAACCUCUUCAGUGAACUUCAUGAUGGUAAGUCUUUGUAUGGUAGAUAUCUAAACCAGUACAUUCUGAAUGUGGUUGGAACAAAACAAUCCAGUAGUCGAAAUAUUUAAAUAUUUCAUGGUGGCCAAAGUCUAUGCCUUAAUUUGCCUGGCUUUCUAAUUAAGGUAGUUGUACUUUUUAAAGGAGACUGGAAGAAAGAAAUCCAAGAACUGAGGUAAGCAGCACUUUAUCAUUCCCAAUACCUAAAGAAUGCCACUCUCUUUCUUUGACUGGGUCUCAGCAAUAUUUUGUCUGGACUGACUGCAAUGGACAAGUAUCAUUUCUCCAUAUAGAAUGCAAAUAAACUGGUAUAGAAAAAGAUAAUUAGAGACAAACUAGUGCUAUAAGUGAACCUCUACUUUAGAAAUCAACUAGAAAGGGUAAAGGUUAGAUUCCAAUUAAAAAUGUAACAUUCCUACAAUAAAUAAUGUAUUGGAAAUACCGUACGUUAUACAUCAAAUAAGCUCUUCAAACAAACAUCUAGAAGUAUGUGUGAUAUUUAGCAUUUCAUUCCAGGUUAGAAAGAGGUUUUAAAAAGUAAAAUUCUUUACUCUUUAAAAGAGCUGGUAAAAAGAAAAAAUAUGGAUUUUAACAAGAUUUUAAAAUGUAUACAAUGAAUAAUAAAAUAAUCUCGUGUGAUAUAAGAGAUGGCAGUUGCUAAAAUGACUCAAGAAGAGAGAAGUGUGAUAAAUGUCACAAGUGAACAUCAUAAAUGUGAAGGUAAGUCCUCAAAUCGUAUCCUUUACAGCAGAGAAGGAAGAAUAUAUGGGAUUAAUAAGGAAAUUGUACUAUACACAAAACAUAUGUUAAGGAUGGUACAGGUAAGAAAUGACCUCCAGUUCUUUAAAAGAGAGUUUAUUGUCUGAAAGAGACUGAUAGAAAGGAAUCCAACAAAUGAGGUGUGUAUGUCAGUAUUUUCAGAUGCCAAAGUGUAUACCUAAAUUAUUUCGUUGGAAAAAUGAUUUCAAGCUUUUGACAACUUUCAGGAAGCAGCAAACUUGUAACAAACUUCCAAGAAGCAGUAAUUAUGUAAAGAACAAGACUUGCUGCAGAAAAGUAAAGUUUCUCCAGUGAAUUUCUCUAACAUGUUACUAAAACUCUAUGGGGUAAGUUUUUCAAGAAUUCAUAUACCGGAAAAUACUUAAGUGGCUAAAGGUUUAUUUUUCAAUCCAGUUGUUGAAGUAUUUCAGUAUUUCACAGUGACCAAUCUCUGCCUUACAAGAUGUUAAAAUGUAAACAAUGAAUUAAAAAUUAUAUGACUUAUAUGCUAAAAAUGAUUCAAGAGAAAAAUGUAACAAUGCCACAAGUGUACAUCAUAAAUGUGAAGGUUGGUCCUGAAAUGGUAUCGUUCACUGCAGGGAAAGAAAAGUAUAUGGGAUAAAUAAAGAAAAUGAUUCAAAAUGACACCAAAAAUAUUUGGCAAGGAUGGCAGUUCAGAGGUAAGAAAAAACAUUUAGUUUUUUAACACAGUUUUAUUGUUUGAAAGAGACAGGAAGAAAGGAAUCCAGCAGAUGAGGUGGGUAUGUCAGUAUUUCUAGCUGCCGAGGUCUCUCCCUUUGUCUAGAUUUUUAGCAGGAAAAUACAAGAUUUCAGGCUUCUGUCAAGCCUCAAGAAGCAAUAAGCAUGCAACAAAAGUGUGAUACAAGGCAAAGAACAAGGCCCCAAAAAGAUAAAAGUGGAAAGCUUUUCUGGUGAACUUCACCAACAUGGUGGUAAGUCUCUAUGAGGUAGGUUUGAUUUCAAUAGUAUAUUGUCAGGACUCACUGCAGUGGUCAAGUAUCAGUGGUUAAGUGUCGUUACUCUAUGCAGAAGGCAAACAAACUGUCCUGAAGCAAAAAAAGUGAGUUUCAGGAAUUGGCUGCAAAAGUUAACUGUUAGUUGCUAUUUUUUUUAAAAAAAAAACCCCAAAAAACCAUUAAAAUUCUUAGAAUAAAUCAUUUAUUUGAGAGAAAACAAGUAAUUGAUCAUUUUUCUUUAAUGCUAUCUGGUUCCUUCACGGCAAAUUUGUUUAACAUUUGCUCAAAUGUGCACUUCUUUCCAAGUUUGAAAGAGAUCUGCAAGGAUUUAUUUUACAGUUGAAUGAACUGAAAAGAAUAAAGGAAUCUGUGGGAAAUAACAAGGUUUUUCACGGUAAACAAAGAAUAAUUUGAAAGGUCUUGUGUGGUUUCAGUUGCUGACAUGAUUCAAAGAGAGAAAAGUGUGACAAUGUCACAGAGGAACAUCAGCAAUGUGAAAGUAAGUCCUGAAAUUGUAUCCUUUGCUGCAUGUUUUAAUUGAUCAUGUAUUACUCUCUGAUGUAUUAGUAUGAAUUUUAUAUGUUGUACACCACUUUGAAUCCCACGCAUGGGAGAAAAGUGGGAUAGAAAUGAAAUAAUAAUAAUAAUAAUAAUAAUAAUAAUAAUAAUAAUAAUAAUAAUAAUAAUAAUAAUAAUAAUGUCUGAUCUUUUUCCUUGGCCACUCACUGGGAUAUUUUAACAGUUAUUUGAUGUUUUAGUGACAUUUUUGCAGUUUUGGAAGAGAUUGUCCAGUGCAAAAAAAUCUGCAGCUGACCCAAUACUUCAUGUAUUACUUCUAUUUCAAGGAGAACAUCACAAAUUUGUUGCCAAAGGCCAAUUGCUUUGUCAUUUUUGGAGUUUUCAAACUAAUAAUGUUAUUUAGAAACGUAUUAAUUUCUUUUUCUUUUAGCAGGUUGAAAAGGGGAAAGGGAAUUUUUAGAAUGAAAGGGGCUGUGUGUAACCUCCACUUUAGGAACUGGCUAGAAAAUCUUCAAAAGUCUUAUUUCCUGACAGUGACAGAAAGCUACCAACUUGUAAGAUAAAAUGUAAUUGAUGGCAAGAGAACAUAACAUGUUUCUAGCAGGGUCUGCAAAGACAAUAUGAACAUGGAAGUAGAUGUUUAAGAGGUAGGUUCUUUGCUGAAACGAAAAGGGGUUCUAGAUCAUUUGUCUUUACUGUUCAAGCCAGCCACUAAAAUGUACUCACCCCCAUUUAUGCUUUAUUUUACGAAUGUGAAAUAAAUUUUAAAAAUUGAAUUGAAAUAGACUCAACCUUUCUCUCAACAUAGUGUCAUAUCCAGUAUUAGUAACUCUGAAUUCUGUAAAUAUCUGAGAUGGUAACUUUGGAUGUCUGUAUUUUGAAAUCUGUCCAGCUAUACAGUAUGUUGAAUCACACUGGAGAAAGCAUCUUCAGGAACCUAAAAAUACAACUGCAUUGAUUUCAUAGAUAAUCCAAAGCAAGACAUGCUGAUACCAGGUUUCUUUAUUUGCUUCAAGAAGAGCAAGUGAAGAGCCUCUCUCUUCAAAAUACUUCAGCCAUAAAUUCAUAACAGGUAAAACCUCUGUGAGGUAAGUUUCUAAAUGGGAAGAAUUAAUUAUCCUGGAAAAUACCUAGGCUGGGUAAAGGUUGCUUCUUCACUUUGUAGUCAGAUGUAACCUCUUUAUAGUCUUGAGAAGGAAGUUUUCAAUUUUUUUAAAAAACUGUACAUUCUGAAAGUAGGUGGGACAAAUCAAUCCAGCAAUAUGUUUGGUUUUCAUGUGCCUUGCUUCAUGGAUUUCUAUGUACCAAUGAACCUGGUUUUCUUUUAAAGCUUACUGGAAAAAUAAGAUAUUUCAGGUUUCUCACAACUUUUUAGAAGCAGCAAAGAUGUAACACAAAUCUGAUAUAAAGGAAAGAGCAAGACUGGCUUCAGGAAGGCAAAAAAGCCUCUCCAAUGAAUGUAUCAACAUGGGUAAGUAGAUUUCCUAAUGGGAAAUUUUCAUAUCCUGGAAAAUACGGAUGUUAAAGAUAAGUUUUUUUACUUUGUUCUUGUAAAUAACCUCUUUGUAGUCUUUAAAGGGAGUUUUCCUGUUUUAAGGGAACUGCAAAUCCAUUCUUUUUGUAUUAGGGAUAUCUAAACAAGUAUAUUCUAAAAGAUGCUGGAACGAAACAAUCCAGCAUUGAAAUAUUGAAAUAUUUCAAGGUGAUGAACGUCUAUGUCUUACUCUGUCUGGCUUGUAUGAUUUCUAACAUUUCUUGGCUCACGUGUGGACUUUUUUCCAGGUUAGAAAGGCAUUUAAAAAUAAUAUCCUUUAACGAAGUGAGGCAAAAACAUAAAAAGCUAUGGGUUUUACCAAGAUUUUAAAAUGUAUACAAGGAAUAAUAACAAAAAAAUUAUUCAUGUGAUUUAAAGGCUGACAGUUGCUGAAAUGACUAAAGAAGAGAGAAAUGUGACAAAUGUCAUAGGUGAACAAUGUGAAUGUGAAGGUAGGUUCUCAAAUGAUAUCUUUUACUGCAGGGAAAGAAAAGUAUACAGAAAAAAAUAAAAUGUGUAUACACACAAAAUGUAUGGUCAGCAUGGCAAUUAUGUGAUAAGAAACAUUCUUCAGUUCUUUAACAGAGAGGGGUUUUUGUCUGAAAGAGACCAGAAGAAAGGAAUCCAACAGAUGAAAUGGGUAUGACAAUAUUUUCCUAACUUUGUCUACAUUUUUGCUGGGGGGGAGGGGGGGAAUGAGAUCUCAGGCUUUGACAACUUUCAGAUGCAGCAAACAUAUAACAAGGAUAACAUGAUGUAAGAUAAAGAACAAUUUCAGAGAAGUAAGAAUCUCUCCAGUAAACUUCACCAACAUGCUGGUAAGUCUCCAUGAGGUAAGUUUCUUAAUUGGAAAAAGUAUCUUGGAAAAUGCUAAGGUUUCAGUUCUUCAACAGAGAGCUGUACAGUCUGAAAGAGACCGGAAGAAGAAAAAAUCCAGCAGAUGAGGUGGUUCUUUUAGUAUUUCUGGUUCCCAAAGUUUACCCCUAACUUUGUCUAGAUUUUUUUUUUGCUGGAAAAAUAUGAGAUUUUAGGCAUAUGACAACCUACAAGAAGCAGUGAACACGUAAACACAAAUCUGAUAUAAGGUAAAAACAACAACAACCACAACAACCACAACAACAACAACCAAAACUAGCUUCAGGAAAGUUUUCAAAAAGCCUCUCCAAUGAACUUUACGAACAUGAUGGUAAGUCUCUGAGGUAUGUGUCUUAAUGGGGAGAAUUCAUAUCCUCAAAAAUACUUUAGUAGUUAAAAGUUUAUUAUUUUUUUCACUUUGUACUUGUAUAUAAACUGUUUAUAGAUUUUAAAAGUACUGCAAAUCCGUCCUGCUUUCUGUUCUAAAAGUGGUUGUGGAGGGAAAAUCCAGCAGAUGAAAUAUUUCAAAAAUUCAUGGUGACAAGUUUUGGUUACUUUGCUCAGGUUUCUAACUAUGUACUUCCCUCACUUAUUUCUGCUGUAUUUCUGAAUAUGAAGUGAAUUUUGGAAAUUGGAAAUUGGCCAUCCAUUCUCUUAACAUAAUUUCAUUUUCAGUAUAGGUUACUCUGCAUUAUGUAAAUAUCUGAGAUGGUAAGUCUAUAUUUUGAGAUCUUGCACAGAAUACAGAAAAAUCGGUCCAGCUAUAUUUUGAAGCCUACUGGGAAAAGCAUCUUCAGGAACUUAAUAAUACAACUGUUUUGAUUUCAUAGAUCAUCCAAAGCAAGACACGCUGAUAUCAGGUUUCUUUAUUUGCUUCAAGAAGAGGAAAGUGAAAAGCCUUUCCACUGGACUUCUCCAACAUGUUGGUAAGAUUCUAUAUGAGAUAAGUUUCUAAAUGGGAAGAAUCACAUCCUGGAAAAUAGGCUGGUUAAAGGUGAUUUCUUAACUUAGUACUCAUAUAUAACUUCUUUGCAGAAUUUAAAUGGAAUUUCUCCUUUUGAAAAGAACUGUAAAUCAAUUUGCUAAGGAUAUAUAAGCAUGUAUAUUCUGAAAGUAGUUGGAACAAAUCAAUCAGCCAACUGAGGUAUUUCAGUAUUUCAUAGUGACCAGUCUAUGCCUUACUUUGCUUGGGUUUCUCACUAUAGCAGCAGCAUAUUCUGAAGGAAACUGGAAGAAAGGAAUCCAGGAACUUAGGCAAGUACAUCAUAAGUCUUAAUAUGUAAUUAUUGCCACUGUAUUUAUUUUGGGCCUCUCUCCACAAUAUUUUCUGAGGACUAAUUGCUGUGGUUAAGUAUUAUUUUUUCCAUACAGAAUGCAAACACACUGGUACAUGGAGGAAGACGUAGAGAUGAAUUGAAGGUAUAAGUGGACCUAUAUCUUGGGAAUUGGUUGUAUUAUAAUUAACAUCUUUAGCUUUCAUACAAUAAAUCAUUUAGUGAAAAGAAAAUAAAUAAUUGGUAAUUGCUUCUAUCGUCCUAGCAAGCUUCAGACUAUAAUGUUUAACUUUUGUUUGAUUGUAUGUGGACUUCUUCCCAGGUUUACAAGACAUUUUACAAGUUAAAUUUCUAUAAAGCAGGUGACAUGAAAAAGAAUAAUCAAACUGCAUUUUUAAAGUAGACAAAGAACAAUAUAAACAGUCCCAUGUGAUUUUAGUUGUUGAAAUGAUUCAAGAAGUGAGAAGUGUGACAGUGUCACACGGAAUAUCAGCAAUGUGAAAGUAGAUCCUGAAAUGGGAUCCUUUACUGUACAAAAAGAUAUUUGGUGCUUUUCCUUGCUGGCUCACUGAGGAUGUCACUGUGAUGGUUCAAUAGUUAUUUGAUGCUUUAGUGACUUUUUGUUGUUGUUGCAGCUUUGGAAGAGAUUGUCCAGUGCCAAACAUUCUGUAGAUGACUUACUAUUUGAAGAUAGGUGAAAUUACAUCAAUAGUUUGAGAAGACCAAGAAAGCAAAGCAUAGCACAAACUUGGGUGAGAUAAGAAACAUUCUCAAAGCCCAAAUAUUUUAUCACUUUUUCUGGAAUGUUUUUCCCUCUGGCUUUUUCAAAUGAAUAAUAUGAUUAAUAUGUUGAUUAAUUUAUUUUCCUUUGAGCAGGUUGAAAAAGGAAUGUUGAAAAUUAAACAAAUUGUAUGUGACACUUUAGAAACUGUCUACAAUAUCUUCAAAAUUCUUAUUUACUGACAGGGAAACACACUGGAGUCAGGUGAGGGGUAAGAAAGCAAUUCCUCUUGUAAAUCAAACUCUUGAUACUCUUUACUGCAGGGAAAGGUCCUUGAUCAUUUUUCCUUGUUGGUUCACUGAAAAUGUCACUGUGAUGGUCUGACAGUUAUUUGAUACUUUGCAGAUUUGAAAGGAAUUGUUCAAUAAAAAAGAUCUUCAGAUGAUCCAUAGUUUGAAAAUACUUCCAUUAAAUGUUUGGCAAGAAAGCAAGGCAUAACUAAACUCUAGUUAGGUAAGAAGCAUUACUUUUUCGCAUUACUUCUUUAAGGAGAACAAUGUAUUAAACAGCACAAAUUUGUGUUAAAUAUUACUAUUUAGUUUUUUAUUAAUUUUUUUUCCUUUGAGCAGGUUCAAAAUUAUUUUUUAGAAUGAAAAUAGAUAUGUGUGACAGAUGGAAGAGAAAUGUCAGGAGAAAAUGUUACUAGACCACGGCCAUACUGCCAGGAAGGCACACAACACUACGGAAGUGGAUGCUUUCUAGUGUCAAGAGAUGCCUGAAUAAGAAAUGUUCUUUCUCCUUUCAGGUGGUGCUUGUUUUUUUUCCUGUAGAGAAAAGCCACAGCACUUGCAGAGCUGGCCUUUGGACUACAGCACAGCAUUGUUGAGGGCGGGGAAGGGAUCAGGGAUCAUGGCAACAGGGCAUUUGUGCAUGGCUCUUGCUCAUGGGAUGCCCAGGGCUAGUGGUGCUGACCGUCAUUUUUGGGGUCGGGAAGGAAUUUUCCUCCAGGGCAGAUUGGCCUGAGACCCUGGAGGUUUUUCGCCUUCCUCUGGGCAUUGAGCAGGAGUCACCAGCCAUGUCAGAUGGCACAUUCAGGUCAAUUAAAAUAUCAUCUUUAAAAAUAAAUAUGUUAAUUGAAAACUA